GAUGAACGCUGGCGGCGUGCCUAAUACAUGCGAGUCGAGCGAAUGGAUUAAGAGCUUGCUCUUAUGAAGUUAGCGGCGGACGGGUGAGUAACACGUGGGUAACCUGCCCAUAAGACUGGGAUAACUCCGGGAAACCGGGGCUAAUAACGGAUAAUAUUUUGAACAGCAUGGUUGAGAACUGAAAGGCGGCUUCGGCUAGCACUUAUGGAUGGACACGCGUCGCAUUAGCUCGUUGGUGAGGUAACGGCUCACCAAGGCAACGAUGCGUAGCCGACCUGAGAGGGUGAGCGGCCACACUGGGACUGAGACACGGCCCAGACUCCUACGGGAGGCAGCAGUAGGGAAUCUUCCGCAAUGGACGAAAGUCUGACGGAGCAACGCCGCGUGAGUGAUGAAGGCUUUCGGGUCGUAAAACUCUGUUGUUAGGGAAGAACAAGUGCUAGUUGAAUAAGCUGGCACCUUGACGGUACCUAACCAGAAAGCCACGGCUAACUACGUGCCAGCCGCCGCCGUAA
rnacentral:rRNA from 1 species